UGCCAGCAGCCGCGGUAAGACGAACCGGCCAAACGUUAUUCGGAAUCACUGGGCUUAAAGGGUGCGUAGGCGGUGCGGUAAGUUGGGUGUGAAAUCCCUCGGCUCAACCGAGGAACUGCGCCCAAUACUGCCGUGCUUGAGGGAGACAGAGGCGAGCGGAACUGAUGGUGGAGCGGUGAAAUGCGUUGAUAUCAUCAGGAACACCAGUGGCGAAAGCGGCUCGCUGGGUCUCUUCUGACGCUGAGGCACGAAAGCUAGGGUAGCGAACAGGAUUAGAUA
rnacentral:rRNA from 1 species